rnacentral:ncRNA from 2 species
UACAUUUGCCUCGAAUUUGGUUGAUCCGCUAACAACGGAUCAUUAAAAGGGAAGUCCGGUGUAAGUCCGGCGCUAUCCCCGUAGCUGUAAAUGCCAAUCAAAAGUCUCCGGCAAACUUCUAACCACUGUCCGACAAUCGUCGGAUGGGAAGGUCGCCCGGAGAAGGCAUAAGCCAGAAGACCUGCCAGAUCAUUUCACAAUUC